rnacentral:rRNA from 1 species
AUUCCUACGGGAGGCAGCAGUGAGGAAUUUUGCGCAAUGGGAGCAAUCCUGACGCAGCAACGCCGCGUGGGUGAAGAAGGCCUUCGGGUCGUAAAGCCCUGUCAGGUGGGAAGAAGGGUCCUAUCAGGAAAGGGGUGGGAUUUGACGGUACCACCAGAGGAAGCACCGGCUAACUCCGUGCCAGCAGCCGCGGUAAUACGGAGGGUGCGAGCGUUAUUCGGAAUUACUGGGCGUAAAGCGCGUGUAGGCGGGGGAGCAAGUCUGAUGUGAAAGCCCCGGGCUUAACCCGGGAAGUGCAUUGGAAACUGUUUUUCUUGAGUACUGGAGAGGAAGGGGGAAUUCCCGGUGUAGAGGUGAAAUUCGUAGAGAUCGGGAGGAAUACCAGUGGCGAAGGCGCCCUUCUGGACGGUUACUGACGCUGAGACGCGAAAGCGUGGGGAGCAAACAGGAUUAGAUACCCUGGUAGUCCACGCUGUAAACGAUGAGCACUAGGUGUAGCGGGUACUCAUUCCUGCUGUGCCGCAGCUAACGCGUUAAGUGCUCCGCCUGGGGACUACGGUCGCAAGACUAAAACUCAAAGGAAUUGACGGAAU